rnacentral:rRNA from 1 species
GGGGGGAACCCUGACCGAGCAACGCCGCGUGAGUGAAGAAGUGUUCGAUCGUAAAGCUCUGUUGUAAGAGAAGAACGAGUGUGAGAGUGGAAAGUUCACACUGUGACGGUAACUUACCAGAAAGGGACGGCUAACUACGUGCCAGCAGCCGCGGUAAUACGUAGGUCCCGAGCGUUGUCCGGAUUUAUUGGGCGUAAAGCGAGCGCAGGCGGUUAGAUAAGUCUGAAGUUAAAGGCUGUGGCUUAACCAUAGUACGCUUUGGAAACUGUUUAACUUGAGUGCAGAAGGGGAGAGUGGAAUUCCAUGUGUAGCGGUGAAAUGCGUAGAUAUAUGGAGGAACACCGGUGGCGAAAGCGGCUCUCUGGCUUGUAACUGACGCUGAGGCUCGAAAGCGUGGGGAGCAAACAGGAUUAGAUACCCUGGUAGUCCACGCCGUAAACGAUGAGUGCUAGGUGUUAGACCCUUUCCGGGGUUUAGUGCCGCAGCUAACGCAUUAAGCACUCCGCCUGGGGAGUACGAACGCAAGGUUGAAACU